rnacentral:rRNA from 1 species
UGAUCAUGGCUCAGGACGAACGCUGGCGGCGUGCCUAAUACAUGCAAGUCGAACGCGUCUCCGUUAAUGAUUUUAGGUGCUUGCACUUGAAAGAUUUAACAUUGAGACGAGUGGCGAACUGGUGAGUAACACGUGGGUAACCUGCCCUUGAAGUAGGGGAUAACACUUGGAAACAGGUGCUAAUACCGUAUAACAACCAAAACCACCUGGUUUUGGUUUAAAAGACGGCUUCGGCUGUCACUUUAGGAUGGACCCGCGGCGUAUUAGCUUGUUGGUAAGGUAACGGCCUACCAAGGCGAUGAUACGUAGCCGACCUGAGAGGGUAAUCGGCCACAUUGGGACUGAGACACGGCCCAAACUCCUACGGGAGGCAGCAGUAGGGAAUCUUCCACAAUGGACGAAAGUCUGAUGGAGCAACGCCGCGUGAGUGAUGAAGGGUUUCGGCUCGUAAAACUCUGUUGUUGGAGAAGAACAGGUGUCAGAGUAACUGUUGACAUCUUGACGGUAUCCAACCAGAAAGCCACGGCUAACUACGUGCCAGCAGCCGCGGUAAUACGUAGGUGGCAAGCGUUGUCCGGAUUUAUUGGGCGUAAAGCGAGCGCAGGCGGUUUUUUAGGUCUGAUGUGAAAGCCUUCGGCUUAACCGGAGAAGUGCAUCGGAAACCGGGAGACUUGAGUGCAGAAGAGGACAGUGGAACUCCAUGUGUAGCGGUGAAAUGCGUAGAUAUAUGGAAGAACACCAGUGGCGAAGGCGGCUGUCUGGUCUGUAACUGACGCUGAG